GGGGAUAGAGCUCAGUAGUAGAGUGCUUGCCUAACAUGCAUGAGGCCCUGAGUUCUGUCCCAAGUAUCACCA
rnacentral:tRNA from 1 species